UCAACAUUCACGAGUAUCUGGAGAAAAGGUUUGACAAAAAAACACGAAUGUUGGCUUUCGUGUUCUACGUGUUCUCCAAAAUUCUUGUAUUUCUAAUCCAUGCAUACACGCCAUCUUGGACUUUUGCAACCGCUACUGGGAUUAACGUCAAUUUGAUUGCAACUGUCUUGUGUGUGGUUUGUGUGUUCUACACUUCAAUAGGGGGUUUGCAAACUGUAGUUUGGACUGAUUUUCUCCAAUUUGGAAUAAUAGUAGCUUGCCUAUUAACUGUUUUUGGUCUCGAUGCAUCUGGAGGAAUAUCAUGAAUUUGGAGCAUAGCAAAAGCUGACGAAAGACUAGGAACCUUUAAUUUCACUGUUGAUCCUAUAGCAAGAGAUAGUUUUUGGGGAACUGGAACUUCUUAAGUCUUAUCGUACAUUCUUGUAUGCCAUCUGGAGGAAUAUCAUGAAUUUGGAGCAUAGCAAAAGCUGACGAAAGACUAGGAACCUUUAAUUUCACUGUUGAUCCUAUAGCAAGAGAUAGUUUUUGGGGAACUGGAACUUCUUAAGUCUUAUCGUACAUUCUUGUAUGCCUACAAAAUUUGACGAAAAACAGAGAGUACUGGCGUAGAACAAGCGUUAGAAAUUUUUGAAGAAAAAAAAAAAAACAGGACGUUGGUAUUUGUACCAAAAUAUUUAGAUUA